GAUGAACGCUGGCGGCGUGCCUAAUACAUGCAAGUCGAGCGAACAGACGAGGAGCUUGCUCCUCUGACGUUAGCGGCGGACGGGUGAGUAACACGUGGAUAACCUACCUAUAAGACUGGGAUAACUUCGGGAAACCGGAGCUAAUACCGGAUAAUAUAUUGAACCGUAUGGUUCAAUAGUGAAAGACGGUUUUGCUGUCACUUAUAGAUGGAUCCGCGCCGCAUUAGCUAGUUGGUAAGGUAACGGCUUACCAAGGCAACGAUGCGUAGCCGACCUGAGAGGGUGAUCGGCCACACAGAAACUGAGACACGGUCCAGACUCCUACGGAAGGCAGGAGGAGGGAAUCUUCCGCAAUGGGCGAAAGCCUGACGGAGCAACGCAGCGUGAGUGAAGAAGGUCUUCGGAUCGUAAAACUCUGUUAUUAGGGAAGAACAAAUGUGUAAGUAACUAUGCACGUCUGGACGGUACCUAAUCAGAAAGCCACGGCAAACUACGU
rnacentral:rRNA from 1 species